AUCUGCCCUGCACUUCGGGAUAAGCCUGGGAAACUGGGUCUAAUACCGGAUAUACCUCAUGGACUGCAUGGUUUGUGGGGGAAAGCUUUUGCGGUGUGGGAUGGGCCCGCGGCCUAUCAGCUUGUUGGUGAGGUUAUGGCCUCACCAAGGCGACGACGGGUAGCCGGCCUGAGAGGGUGACCGGCCACACUGGGACUGAGAUACGGCCCAGACUCCUACGGGAGGCAGCAGUGGGGAAUAUUGCACAAUGGGCGCAAGCCUGAUGCAGCGACGCCGCGUGAGGGAUGACGGCCUUCGGGUUGUAAACCUCUUUCAGCAGGGACGAAGCGAAAGUGACGGUACCUGUAGAAGAAGGACCGGCCAACUACGUGCCAGCAGCCGCGGUAAUACGUAGGGUCCGAGYGUUGUCCGGAAUUACUGGGCGUAAAGAGCUCGUAGGUGGUUUGUCGCGUCGUUCGUGAAAACUCACA
rnacentral:rRNA from 1 species